rnacentral:rRNA from 1 species
AUUUACCUACGGGGCGCAGCAGUGGGGAAUAUUGCACAAUGGGGGAAACCCUGAUGCAGCAACGCCGCGUGAGUGAAGAAGUAUUUCGGUAUGUAAAGCUCUAUCAGCAGGGAAGGAGAAAGACGGUACCUGACUAAGAAGCCCCGGCUAACUACGUGCCAGCAGCCGCGGUAAUACGUAGGGGGCAAGCGUUAUCCGGAUUUACUGGGUGUAAAGGGAGCGUAGACGGCUGUGCAAGUCUGAAGUGAAAGCCCGUGGCCCAACCCCGGAACGGCUUUGGAAACUGUACAGCUAGAGUGCAGGAG